rnacentral:rRNA from 1 species
GACGAACGCUGGCGGCGUGCUUAACACAUGCAAGUCGAACGGAAAGGCCCUGCUUGCAGGGUACUCGAGUGGCGAACGGGUGAGUAACACGUGGGUGAUCUGCCCUGCACUUCGGGAUAAGCCUGGGAAACUGGGUCUAAUACCGGAUAGGAACCAUUUUUAGUGUGAUGGUUGGAAAGUUUUUUCGGUGUAGGAUGAGCUCGCGGCCUAUCAGCUUGUUGGUGGGGUAAUGGCCUACCAAGGCGGCGACGGGUAGCCGGCCUGAGAGGGUGGACGGCCACAUGGGGACUGAGAUACGGCCCAGACUCCUACGGGAGGCAGCAGUGGGGAAUAUUGCACAAUGGGGGCAAGCCUGAUGCAGCGACGCCGCGUGGGGGAUGACGGCCUUCGGGUUGUAAACUCCUUUCGCUAGGGACGAAGCUUUUGUGACGGUACCUAGAUAAGAAGCACCGGCUAACUACGUGCCAGCCGCCGCGGUAAUAC